rnacentral:rRNA from 1 species
AAUCAACGCUGGCGGCGUGCCUCAGACAUGCAAGUCGAACGCGAAAUUUCCCUUCGGGGAGAAAGUAGAGUGGCGCACGGGUGGGUAACACGUGGGUAAUUUACCUUCGGGUGGGGAAGUAACGUCUCGAAAGAGACGCUAAUACCGCAUGAUGCAGCGGCACCACAUGGUGACAGUUGUUAAAGCGGGGGAGUCGCAAGACCUCGCGCCUGAAGAGAAGCCCGCGGCAGAUUAGCUAGUUGGUAAGGUAAUGGCUUACCAAGGCAACGAUCUGUAGCCGGCCUGAGAGGGCGGUCGGCCACACUGACACUGAAUAACGGGUCAGACUCCUACGGGAGGCAGCAGUCGGGAAUUUUGGGUC